rnacentral:lncRNA from 1 species
GUUGAAAUGAAAGCUGCAAAGUUCUUACCCGACAGGUUCCUUACCAUGCCUAUCGAUCCUUCACCAUGCCUCAUAAGAAUCUUGUGCUCUUUCCCACCUCCAGCAGCAAUAAAAUAAUGGCAAGUGAUGAUAUUGCCACUACCCAGUGGGGAUAUUUUAAAACUCAAGUAUCUUAGCAUAGAUUUCCACCUUCUUCAUGGAAUUGUGAUUCAUUCUGAGGUGACUAUCUGCUCAAUUCCCAGAAUUUUAGAGCUUGAAGGAACCCUAGGGUUUGACUCUCUCCUUAAGUAGAGAGGAAACUGAGGUUUCAAAAGGGACAUCGAUGGACAUACAAGAAGUCUUGAUGGUCAUACAAGAAAUAAAUGUCAAAACCAGAAUUCA